rnacentral:rRNA from 1 species
UGGGGAAUUUUGGACAAUGGGGGAAACCCUGAUCCAGCCAUCCCGCGUGUGCGAUGAAGGCCUUCGGGUUGUAAAGCACUUUUGGCAGGAAAGAAACGUCAUGGGUUAAUACCCCGUGAAACUGACGGUUCCUGCAGAAUAAGCACCGGCUAACUACGUGCCAGCAGCCGCGGUAAUACGUAGGGUGCAAGCGUUAAUCGGAAUUACUGGGCGUAAAGCGUGCGCAGGCGGUUCGGAAAGAAAGAUGUGAAAUCCCAGAGCUCAACUUUGGAACUGCAUUUUUAACUACCGGGCUAGAGUGUGUCAGAGGGAGGUGGAAUUCCGCGUGUAGCAGUGAAAUGCGUAGAUAUGCGGAGGAACACCGAUGGCGAAGGCAGCCUCCUGGGAUAACACUGACGCUCAUGCACGAAAGCGUGGGGAGCAAACAGG